rnacentral:tRNA from 1 species
UGGGAGGUCGUCUAGUGGUAGGACAUCGCGCUCUGGACGCGAAAACUGGGGUUCAAGUCCCUGCCUCCCAG